rnacentral:lncRNA from 1 species
GGGGCUGGGGGUAGGAAGCAUGGAGAAUUGUUAAAAGUGUAGACAUAAAUGAAGAAACUGACAAUAACACAAUAAUAGUAUUAAUACCACACUUACAUCAAUGGACAGAAGAAUCAAUAAGGCCACAGUGGUUCUAAAUGACAGAAUAGGCCAGUUGGACUCAAUAGAUAUCUACAAGACAUCACAUCCUCAAACAGCAGAAUACGUAUUCUUUUCAGGUGCAAGUGAGACAUUCUGAGGAUAGAUCACAUGCUAAACCACAAAACAAGUCUCAACAAAUUUAAGGGGAUAGAAAUUAUAUCAAGCAUUUUUUUUUCGUCUUUUUUAGGGCUGUACCCAUGGCAUAUGGAAGUUCUCAGUGGGUUAAGGAUCCGGCGUGGCCAGGAGCUGUGGUGUUGGUCACAGAUGCAGCUCAGAUCUGGUGUUGCUGUGGCUCUGUUGUAGACCCGCAGCAACAUCUCCAACUAGACCCCUAGUCUGGGAACCUCCAUAUGCUGCGGGUGCAGCCCUAAAAAGACAAAAGGACACACCCAAAAAAAGACCACAAAUAAAUGUUGAUGGGAAUAUAUGGGCAAAACAGAACCCUAUGCACUGCUGGUGGAAUGUCAACUGGUACAGCCAUUAGAGAAAACAGUAUGGAGGUUCCCCCCAAAACUAAAAAUAGAACUACUGUAUGAUCCAGCAAUUCCGCUCUGGCUAUCUAUCCAAAGAAAAUGAAAACACUAAUUCAAAAAGAUACAUGCAUGCCCCCAUAUUAAAGGCAGUAUUAUUUACAGUAACCAAGAUACGGAAGUCACCUUCGUGUCCAACAAGAGAGGACUGGAUAAAGAGGACAUGGAGUCUUCUGUACACACACACAGACACACAUCUGCACAAUGGCAUACUUCUCAGCCAUAGAGAAGAAUGAAAUUUUUCCACUUGCAACAACUUGGACACCCAGAGGGUAUUAUGUUAAGAAAAAUAAUUCGGAGAGACAAAGAAAAAUACUAUAUGGUAUCACUUAUAUGUGGAAUCUAAAAAUAAAACAAAGGAAUGAAUAUAACCAAACAGAAACAGACUGGGAGCUGCCUUUGUGGCUCAGCAGUUAAUGAACCCCACUAGCAUCCAUGAGGACGUGGGUUCAAUCCCUGGCCUCCCUCAGUGCUUAAGGAUCCGGCGCUGCCAUGAGGUGUGGUGCAGGCUGUAAACGCAGCUCGGAUCCCACGUUGCCGUGGCUGUGGGGUAGGCCUGCGGCCACAGCUCUGAUUCGACUCCUAGCCUGGGAACCUGCAUAUGUCGCAGGUGCAGCCCUAAAAACCAAAAAAAAA